UAGGGAAUCUUCCGCAAUGGACGCAAGUCUGACGGAGCAACGCCGCGUGAGUGAAGAAGGAUUUCGGUUCGUAAAACUCUGUUGUUAGAGAAGAACAGCGCAUAGAGUAACUGUUAUGCGUGUGACGGUAUCUAACCAGAAAGCCACGGCUAACUACGUGCCAGCAGCCGCGGUAAUACGUAGGUGGCAAGCGUUGUCCGGAUUUAUUGGGCGUAAAGCGAGCGCAGGCGGUCAAUUAAGUCUGAUGUGAAAGCCCCCGGCUCAACCGGGGAGGGUCAUUGGAAACUGGUGGAGUUGAGUGCAGAAGAGGAGAGUGGAAUUCCAUGUGUAGCGGUGAAAGGCGUAGAUAUAUGGAGGAACACCAGUGGCGAAGGCGACUCUCUGGUCUGUAACUGACGCUGAGGCUAGAAAGCGUGGGUAGCAAACAGG
rnacentral:rRNA from 1 species